AGAAAACAAAGUUGCCAAAAGGAAAUUAUUGCCAAAAAAAUAUAGUAAAAGUUAAAGGGGAGAGGUCAAAAAGGCCGUGAAGAAGAAGAGAGAAGAAGAAGACUUUACCGCCGCCGAUCUCCCUCUGUGGUGGGCCGUGCUCGUCACCGCCGCUACGUGAGGGAGGAUCUCCUUAGCCUCUUUAGUUUAAUCUAAGUUUUAUUUGGUCUUUUGUCUUUUUGGGUGAGGGUUUAAUUACUUCUCAGUCCGGUGAGUGCUAGUUUGCCUCAGUCUCAAGCAGUCUGUGCUUGUCCCAUGGUGGCUUGUCCUCCUUGGUGUGUAUCUUGACUCGAUUUAGAACGGUGGUUGGUGGUCCAGAUCUACUGGAUCUUGGGUUGAUAAACUUGUAGGGUCUUGGAGUCUUUUGUGGCUGUUUCGGUGCUUGGAUCCCUUUAGUAUCUGUCGAUUGGGUGAGUCGCUAUAGAAGAGACCUCUGUGGUGGUAGCUGGUGCUUAAUCGUCCUGAUUCUCUUGCUCCCCUUUGGUUUUUGUCUAGUCUGUGUUCUGCGCUUGGAGUGUGGUUCCUGCUCUCUUGCUUGUUUCAGGUGGAGUGUCGGUUUGGAGAGUUGGGUCCAGUGAUGAGUCUGGCGCCAUAUGUCAGGUCGAGGACCUGUUGACGGUGCGGUGUAGCUGCUUGGGGCAGUGCAGGUGCUUUCGCUGACGUCGUCUUUGGACUUUCUUCAACUCUAGUUCCUUUGCUACUCAUUGUUUCUGCAAAGAGUUUAUGUUCUCGGUUGAGUCGUUGCGUCGACAUGGUGUUUCUGAGUGCGCUUUCAGGUGCCUAUAUCCCGAGUUUGGUUUCGCGUCUCCUGUGUUGUUUCUCCAGAUGGUGCUUUCAAGAUUAUGGCUUUCUCUAAUUGGUUCUAGUUUGGUGCGGAAUGGUAUGUUUCUUUGAGGUUUUUUCUGCAACGGUGAAGCGUCCCGAGGAUACUUUGGUUGCUAUUGGCUUCUCUCCGGUGAAAAGGUCUGAUUUGAGGUGUGUUGUACUCUGUUCUGCUGUGUGUGGCGGGUGGACCUGUUUCUGUUCUUUGGUUUGGUUGUCAAGCUCUCAAGUGUUGGUGGUCUGUCCUUAUUGGAGGCUCAUCCUUGUUUCAUUUGGCUGUCUCCUUGUAAGCCUCCGGUGGUUCUAAGGUUCAUGGUUACUAUCUCUUCUGUCCUCUCCUUUGAGCUCUCAGUAAUGUGGGGAUUUAAGUUUUGAAAUUUGCCUGGUUGUUUAUGUUCCCCGUGUGUGGGUUUAAGGGUCCCUUCUUAUGGGAUUUAGCUUCUGAGGAUAUCUUCUUCUUCCUUCAGCUUAUGCAGUAGACUAUGUAUUUUGUUGUUCUAAUAUAAUUCAAUUUGAAAAAAAAAAACAAUGUUAACAUGGUUUGGUCUGACAUUUGUGGUAAAUCAUUGUUAACGUCAUACAAUUAAGGUUACCAAAC
rnacentral:lncRNA from 1 species